UACGAAGGGGGCUAGCGUUGUUCGGAAUUACUGGGCGUAAAGCGCGCGCAGGUGGUCUUUCAAGUCAGUGGUGAAAGCCCGGAGCUCAACUCCGGAAAUGCCAUUGAAACUGUAAGACUUGAGGAUGAGAGAGGUGAGUGGAAUUCCCAGUGUAGAGGUGAAAUUCGUAGAUAUUGGGAAGAACACCGGUGGCGAAGGCGGCCCACUGGCUCAUAUCUGACGCUCAGGCGCGACAGCGUGGGGAUCAAACAGG
rnacentral:rRNA from 1 species